AGCUAUACAAAGGGGAGCUGGAUUAAUUCAGCUGAGAGUGGAUCUAAAGCGAUCCUGACCCUAUAACCUGAUCUGGGUAAUGCCAGCGUAGGGAGCAUAACAAUGUCUUCU
rnacentral:ncRNA from 2 species